ACUGCUCAGUAACACGUUGCUAAUCUACCCUUAGAUCGAGGAUAACCUCGGGAAACUGAGAAUAAGACUCGGUACGAGAUGGUUUCUGGAAUGAGCUAUCUCUGAAACGCAAGGUCUAAGGAUGAGGCUGCGGCGGAUUAGGUAGUUGGCGGGGUAAAUGCCCACCAAGCCUGUGAUCCGUAAGGGCCUUUAGCGAGGAGGCCCUAAGAAGGAAUCUGAGACACUAUUCCUAGCCCUACGGGGUGCAGCAGUUAGGGAACUUUUCCAAUGCGCGCAAGCGUGAGAAAGCGAGCCAGAGUGAUUUUGAUAUAAUUUCAAAAUCUUUUGUUCAUUGUAAGAAGAUGGACGAAUAAGGAAUGGGCAAGACCGGUGCCAGCCGCCGCGGUAAUCCCGGCGCUCCAAGUCGCAGCCACAAUUAUUGGGUCUAAAACAUUCGUAGCUUGUUUGCUAAGUUCUUUGUGAAAUCUGACAUCUUAAGUGUCAGGCGUGCAAAGAAUACUGGUGAACUUGGGACCGGAGGAAGCAAGAAGUACGUCGGAUGUAGUGGUAAAAUAUGUUAAUCUUCGACGGACUAACGACAGCGAAGGCAUCUUGCUAAUACGGAUCUGACAGUGAGGAAUGAAGGCUAGGGGCGCAAAGUGGAUUAGAUACCCACGUAGUCCUAGCAGUAAACACUGCUCACUAAACAUUAGCACCUCCUAGAGAGGUGUUAGUGCUGUAGAGAAGUCGAAGAGUGAGCUACCUGGGAAGUAUAGUCGCAAGACCGAAACUUAAAGGAAUUGGCGGGGGAGCAC
rnacentral:rRNA from 1 species